CCUAAGGUAGCGAAAUUCCUUGUCAGGUAAGUUCUGACCCGCACGAAUGGCGUAAUGAUUUGGGCACUGUCUCAACAGCCCGCCCGGCGAAAUUGUAGUACUGGUGAAGAUGCCAGUUACCCGCAACUAGACGGAAAGACCCCAUGGAGCUUUACUGUAGCCUAAUACUGAAGAUCGGUAAUGCAUGUACAGGAUAGGUGGGAGCCAGCGAAACCCGGGCGUCAGCUCGGAUGGAGGCAACCUUGGAAUACCACCCUUGUAUUGCUGGUUUUCUAACCUGCGGCCAUGAAUCUGGUCGGGGGACACUGUUAGGUGGGCAGUUUGACUGGGGCGGUCGCCUCCAAAAGCGUAACGGAGGCGCUCAAAGGUUGGCUCAGCACGGACGGAAAUCGUGCAUAGAGUGCAAACGCAUAAGCCAACUUGACUGCGAGACCGACGGGUCGAGCAGGUACGAAAGUAGGAGUUAGUGAUCCGGUGGUAUGUGAGUGGAAAUGCCAUCGCUCAACGGAUAAAAGCUACCCUGGGGAUAACAGGCUGAUCUCCCCCAAGCGUCCACAGCGACGGGGAGGUUUGGCACCUCGAUGUCGGCUCGUCACAUCCUGGGGCUGUAUUCGGUCCCAAGGGUUCGGCUGUUCGCCGAUUAAAGUGGCACGCGAGCUGGGUUCAGAACGUCGUGAGACAGUUCGGUCCCUAUCUGUUGCGGGCGUAAGAGAUUUGAAGGGAGCUGUCCUUAGUACGAGAGGACCGGGAUGGACGUACCUCUGGUGCACCAGUUGUCCUGCCAAGGGCAUAGCUGGGUAGCUAUGUACGGACGAGAUAAACGCUGAAAGCAUCUAAGCGUGAAACUCCCCCUAAGAUGAGAUCUCUCACCUCGAAAGAGGGUAAGGGCCCAGGAAGACUACCUGGUAGAUAGGCCGGAGGUGGAAGUGCAGUAAUGUAUGGAGCUGACCGGUACUAAUCGCCCGAGGGCUUGACCUA
rnacentral:rRNA from 1 species